rnacentral:lncRNA from 1 species
CUAACUGACUGAGCCACCCAGGAGCCCCUCAAUGUAUGCAUUUAGAGUUCACAGAGCUUCUUCAGUUUUAAUCUCAUUUGAGAAUUUUUAAAAAAUGUAAAGGGAAAUAUUAGCUUCAUUUUAUAGAUGAUGAAAACCAAAGCCCAGAGAUUUGGACUGUUUAAAGUUGCAGCAGAUUAAAGCCCAGGUACCAAUCAGCAAGUUACCCACUUGGAUUCUUCAACUGGCAAAUGAAACACAUUUACCUGCACUAAAAAUGAAGUCAGUUGGUUUGAUCUAAGUCCCUGCGGGAAACUUGAUCCACCAAGUGAUCCAAGGAACUCAAUAUGGAUUCACUGGCUAAAGAUUUUUCCUUUAAAAACAUGUAAUGAGAAGACAGAGCUGGAUCUUCUUAGCACCCAUCCAUUUUGGAGAUUGGUGGUAGACUAUGGAUGGCAUAAAAAGAUAGUACCCAGAAUGCAAAUGUCUUAUUGCUUGUGACCACAAGAUAUCAACAGCAGGACCAUUUCCUUCUCUUGACACUAGAAAUAGCUUCAUCAAAUGAGGAAUUACUCAGCCUCCUGCGGGUGCCCUUUUCUGAAGCUAACAUCCUACUCAUCAUUUGAACCCUAGUAGAAGCUACAAUCCUAUUCAAUCUAAUUUCAAAAUACUGAUACCAGCUCUAUCACUUUAUUUUCUCCCUUUAAAGUCUGUGUUGUCUCUUUCCUGUAUUUUAUUAAUUGUGACACCAAUCAAGGCAUAUAGGAGUGGGGG